rnacentral:rRNA from 1 species
CGCGUAGGCGGCGUCGGAAGUCAGGCGUGAAAGCCCCGGGCUCAACCUGGGAACUGCGUUUGAUACUCCGAUGCUUGAGUUCGGGAGAGGAGAGUGGAAUUCCCAGUGUAGAGGUGAAAUUCGUAGAUAUUGGGAAGAACACCGGUGGCGAAGGCGGCUCUCUGGACCGAUACUGACGCUGAGGCGCGAAAGCGUGGGGAGCAAACAGGAUUAGAUACCCUGGUAGUCCACGCUGUAAACGAUGUGUGCUAGACGUUGGGAGGCUUAGCCUUUCGGUGUCGCAGCAAACGCUUUAAGCACACCGCCUGGGGAGUACGGCCGCAAGGUUAAA